GAAAUAGCUCAGUUGGGAGAGCUAGACUGAAGACAAGGUCCCUGGUUCAAUCCCGGUUGCAGAUCUA